UACGGGAGGCAGCAGUGGGGAAUAUUGCACAAUGGGCGCAAGCCUGAUGCAGCCAUGCCGCGUGUAUGAAGAAGGCCUUCGGGUUGUAAAGUACUUUCAGUCGUGAGGAAGGUGUUAAGGUUAAUAACCUUAGCAAUUGACGUUAGCGACAGAAGAAGCACCGGCUAACUCCGUGCCAGCAGCCGCGGUAAUACGGAGGGUGCGAGCGUUAAUCGGAAUUACUGGGCGUAAAGGGCACGCAGGCGGUUAAUUAAGUUGGAUGUGAAAUCCCCGGGCUUAACCUGGGAAUGGCAUUCAAGACUGGUUAGCUAGAGUCUUGUAGAGGGGGUAGAAUUCCAUGUGUAGCGGUGAAAUGCGUAGAGAUGUGGAGGAAUACCGGUGGCGAAGGCGGCCCCUGGACAAGACUGACGCUCAUGUGCGAAAGCGUGGGGAGCAACAGGGAUUAGAUACC
rnacentral:rRNA from 1 species